CGGCACUCUGGAGACGCCCGCGGGAAAAGCCGCGGGGGCCGAAGGUGAAAGCGCCGGGUCCGGCGUGAAUCUCUCAGGCAAAAGGACAGAGCC
rnacentral:ncRNA from 1 species